CGCGUAGGGUGCGAGCGUUGUCCGGAAUUACUGGGCGUAAAGAGCUCGUAGGUGGUUUGUCACGUCGUCUGUGAAAUUCCGGGGCUCAACCUCGGGCGUGCAGGCGAUACGGGCAAUACUUGAGUGCUGUAGGGGAGACUGGAAUUCCUGGUGUAGCGGUGAAAUGCGUAGAGAUUAGGAAGAACACCAGUGGCGAAGGCGACUUUCUGGCUGACAACUGACGCUGAGGCGCGAAAGCGUGGGGAGCAAACAGGAUUAGAUACCCCCGUA
rnacentral:rRNA from 1 species